GCCUCUUUGGCUUAGUGGUACAGCGUCUCACUCGUAUACAAUAUCCGACAUGAGAAGAUCCUCGGUUCGAUUCCGAGAAGAGGCA